GUCACGCCUCUGGCGCCCGGGCGUAGGCGGAGAGGAAGGUGGAGGCGCUUUGAAAAGUGAGAGCGGGAGGGCGGUGCGCCCUCGGGCUCUCCGCGGCAAGUAGCUCUCAAACUGGUGGCUGAGGGCUGAUUAGAGGGGCGUGUCCGCCCGGAAAUCAAAUUCCCGCGAGCGCUGUCAGUUGUGGCGACCGCGGUCUUCAGUCGAGAGGGACAGCUUUGACCUCACCUGCGCGUCUGUGGGAGUCCUGCCCCUUACUGACGUGGGGCGCUUGGCCCCGGAGGACCGGGUUCCUGGGACACGCGUCAUCGCCGAGCUCUAUUGCAGGGUCCUGACUCCUAGUGACAGCGCACCUCCCCCUUGGAGGCCAAGGCCCGGAUGGGCGGUGCGAGGGGCCUGCGCCCCGCCAAAGAGCCAGCUUUAUGUUAUGGAAGCUAAGUGAAAAUGGUACAUAUUAGAAGACCAAAAACAAGGAAAAGUUCUAAAACUAAAGUGCCUGAGCAAAAAUCGCGAGUUGAUUGGCGGCGGACCAAAAGAAGCAUCUCUCAAUUAUUUGAGAGUGAUGAUGAGCUUGAGUGUGACCAAAAACUUGAUAGUGAUGAAGAGAUGGACAGUGGUAAAAGUGAUGAUGAUGAUGAAGAAGAAGAAGAAGAACUAGAUAGCAAUAAGAAGCCUAAUAAUCAUGAGAUACCACAUAAGGAAGGAGACCUUGAAUUAAUCAAAGUUGAGAGCAAAGGAGGUACACAACUCACUAACACUUGCAAUAGUUUAACAUAUGAAGAAGAAAUGAUCAAAACUGAGCACAGUGACUUACUAGAUCAUGAGAAGCACCCAGGCCAGGAGGAGGAGGACCUCAACAAACACACUGGACCAAUCAUAGAAGAGGAUUUUGAAGAUGAACACAUCAAGCCAGGGACAAGAAAACGGCUAUCCUCUGUGAUGUAUGACAGUGAUGAGAGUGAUGGUAGUGAUAUCCUACUUAGAAAAGUAGGUGUGAAACGUCCACGCAGGGUGGUUGAAGAUGAGUGUUCUUCAGGUGAAACAGAGCAAGAAACCCCUGAGAAAGCAUUAGCUGCUCGAAAACGAGAAUACCACCAGAAGCUGAAAGAACUCUCAAAAAGAUCACGCCAGAGACGCAGUAGUGGUAGAGAUAUUGAGAACUCUGAAAAGGAAUCUUGCCCAAGCACUGGUGACGAGAGUGAGGAAGAAGAAGCAGAGGACUACAAAUAUGAUGAAUAUGGAGAUGAUUAUAUUCUUGAUGAUUUUGUAGUGCAAGAUGAGUAUGAUGAAGAAACUAAAAAUCAACGAGGUGAAAAUUUGACUAUGUCGCAACUGAAAUUAGUAAAGCAGAACUCUCUUUAUUCUUUCAGUGACCACUAUACGCACUUUGAAAGAGUUGUGAAGGCUCUUCUGAUCAAUGCUUUAGAUGAAUCUUUUCUGGGAACAUUGUAUGAUGGCACCAGGCAAAAAUCAUAUGCACAAGAUAUGUUGACAUCUCUUUAUUAUUUGGAUAAUCACUUUAUUCAACCCCGUCUAGAGAAUUUAGCUGCCAGAAGUCGAUGGAAAGAGCAGUAUAAGGAGCGGGUUGAAAAUUAUUUUACUUUAAGUAUCCAUCUUAAAAAUCCUGAAAACUGUUGCUGCCAGGCUUGUGGAUUGCAUCGCCACUGUAAAUUUCUAGUGCAUCUGUCAGGAGAGCUUUAUAACAGUAAGACCAUGGAAACAGAUGACUUCAUGUCACAUGACAAACAGGUUUUCAAUGUUGGCAGAAUUUGUGCUGAUCGUACCAGAAUUUAUCAUGACCUUAAACAUUUUAAAUUCAAACUAUAUCAAGAAUGUUGUUCCAUUGCAAAAAUAGAAGAAGUUGAAGAUGAACAGGUUAAAGAAACAGUGGAAAGAAUUAUUCAUAAGUUAAAAGAGGAUGGCUGGAUUAAAACGAUUUGGUAUUUCUCAAAACAUUACCCUUAAUGACCUAUGUCAGAAUUACUUAUAAUAGUUUGGAAAAUAUGGAAUCCCUGACCACCCCACACCAACUUAAUGAAGUCCUUGAAGUUGGAAACACACAAUAUUUUAAAAACUGAGUGGUUCUUGAGCAAAUUAAAGAUAGGAGAUACUUUUUGGUUUUUAAGCAAAUUAGAGGACCCUACUUCAAAUUUCUGUUGUACUGGAUCUGCCAUCAACCUCUGAAACUUCCUUGGCAGACCUCUGCCCUUCUAAGGAAUCUAAACUGCUCCUUCUGAGUAGAGGACUCCAAAGUCCAUCAUCACAAUACUGCCCAAUUUUAUCAGCAUGUCCAUCUGGAACUAUAAGAAAGAGUUCUUUGUUAUAAAAGUAAGACACAAACUCCCAAAAUAUACUGUGAAGAGCUACGGGAGCUGCAUCUUUAGGUGGAAAAGAUAGUGAGGAAUAAAAUAUGGCCAACUUCAAGACUAUCUCAACAGUGCGGACUACUUUCAAGAUGAGAAGUUUGAAUGAUUAGGCAUUUCCUUCAGAGAUUGCUUUAAAUGUCAAUGUCAGUGUGAAGAGCAUGAGCCUUAUUUCUCUGUAUCAUGUUACAUAUUUAUUAUAUACUUUAAUUGUGCCUUGAUGGUAAAAUAUCUUCUUUAUAAAUUCAUCUAAAUUCUUAUGAUAUGCCAGUCUAUCAAUGUACAUGAAUCAGCCUUAUAAUUUUAAAGUCUACAAAUGUAUUUUGAAGUUAUACAACAAUACCUUUAUGACAGAUGACUAUGAAGUAAAUGAGUUAUUAUAUAUUAUCUGGUUAAUGGAAGUAUAUUGUUUUUAAAAUAUAUGUAGACUGAUGUCUCUAUGUAUUCAUUGCUGUAUCCAUGUCCAGAUGCUUGUGUCUCUUGGCAGUAUUUAAUAAUCUUCACCAACAAAUGUGUGGCUACUAUGUUCUCAAUAAGUGAGCUAAGGAAGAAACUUGAGUUCCUUCUCCUCCCCUCAGAAUCAGAACAUAGCUUAUUACUCCAAAUGGAGGAGUGCUUUCUUACUCUUCUAAGGUUUCUUUUGCAAAUAGAUGUCAGAUCCCCAGAUUCUUUCAGUUUCACAUUCAAGAAAAAAAUGCAUAUGUGUUUUCAUUCUUUAUAUUGUUCUGUAUUGUUUCUAUCUGAUUUUGUCUAGAUGUGAAUGGCUGAGAUUUAUUUUAUUAUUUUUAUUUAUAAUGUUCUUCAUGUAAAUAUAUGCACAAUAGUCUGAACAUCCCAAGAGACUAUUUCAGCCAAGAACAUUUAAAAAGCAUGUUUUUGUCUGUUUUGCUUUUCCACAUUUAACUUUUUUAAUACUAUAAUAAACAGUUACAGAAUGAACAAUUGGAA